UUACGACAAUACCACGUUAAAACACCGAUUCUCAUACGAUCAUCGAAGUUAAGCAACGUCGAGCUUGGUUAGUACCUUGAACGGUGACCGCUUGGGAAUAACAGGUGCUGUAA